CUGGGAUCUUUGAAUUGGACAAGGAGUGUGGAACUCUUGUCCAGAGGCCGGGAGUACUUAAUCAGUUUGGUGAUGAAGGAUGGAACUCCCCUUCAUCGUUCAAAGAGGUAUUUUAAAUAGUGACUCUUCCAUAUGUGCAUGCUCUGCUUAUGCAUGCAUAUGAUGCUCUGUUCUAUUGUUCCGAUCUUUUUGCUGUCUGCGGUUUUUCAGUUCAUACAGGUGAAUGUGGAAAUGUCCAUGAAAUGUCCAUCUACAACUUUCAAACUGACAAAAUAUUUUCUUUUUAAGGUACCUGUCUGUCAUGGGGUUUGUCAUCAACAUUGACACCCUAAUGCUGAUGUGUCCUGAGCUGCUUCAGAGUCAGCAAUAUAUCUGCACCUACCGGUUCAGCCAGGAUCAUUUGGAGCUCCUUUUCAACUCCAUCAGGGCAUCAGGGGGCUGGAACAACAAUCCCUCCGCAGGCCAGUUCCAGGGCAUCUUCCGCCGGCUCAUGGUCCGAUGUGGUGUCACACCGAGCACUUCAGGGAAUGUGGCACCACAGGAUGAGACCGUGUCUCUGUCGGCUGUAGAGAUGUCCUCUCCCUCUGAAACGGAAGAGCUUGAGGUGCCCUUCGUGAAUGUGUCUGCGUUGAUUGGGGACCACAGCUACUUGCCAACCCGCUUUGGUGGCCUAGUGGAAAACGCACUGGUCUACAUUGCAGGGUUUGUGGUGCGGCAGGUUUUGAGAAAGCUGUCCUGUGGUGAGUGCCGUGCUAGCCUGGUGACAGAUGCUGCACGCGCAUCUUUCGACGAGAGCUACCACCUGCUGACUCUGAAGAACAAAGGAGGGCUGAUGAUUCCUUCAGAGGGGACAGUGAAGGUGGUCAGGUCAGCAG
ensembl:lncRNA